GAUGAACGCUAGCGGCAGGCCUAACACAUGCAAGUCGAGGGGCAGCACGGUGUAGCAAUACAUUGGUGGCGACCGGCGCACGGGUGCGUAACGCGUAUACAAUUUGCCUUAUACUGGGAGAUAGCCCGGAGAAAUUCGGAUUAAUAUCCCAUAAUAUUUUUUCACCGCAUGGUGAGAAUCUUAAAGCUACGGCGGUAUAAGAUGAGUAUGCGUCUGAUUAGCUAGUUGGUGAGGUAAUGGCUCACCAAGGCUACGAUCAGUAGGGGGCCUGAGAGGGUUAUCCCCCACACUGGAACUGAGACACGGUCCAGACUCCUACGGGAGGCAGCAGUGGGGAAUCUUGCGCAAUGGACGAAAGUCUGACGCAGCGACGCCGCGUGAGUGAUGAAGGCCUUCGGGUUGUAAAGCUCUGUGGAGAGGGACGGAAUAAGUGUCGUCGAAUAGACGGCAUGAUGACGGUACCUUUUUAGCAAGCACCGGCUAACUCUGUGCCAG
rnacentral:rRNA from 1 species